CAGUCGCCACGGGAAUACGUAGGUGGCAAGCGUUGUCCGGAAUUAUUGGGCGUAAAGGGCUCGCAGGCGGUUUCUUAAGUCUGAUGUGAAAGCCCCCGGCUCAACCGGGGAGGGUCAUUGGAAACUGGGAAACUUGAGUGCAGAAGAGGAGAGUGGAAUUCCACAUGUAGCGGUGAAAUGCGUAGAGAUGUGGAGGAACACCAGUGGCGAAGGCGACUCUCUGGUCUGUAACUGACGCUGAGGAGCGAAAGCGUGGGGAGCGAACAGGAUUAGAUACCCGCGUAGUCCCUGUCUCUUAUAC
rnacentral:rRNA from 1 species